GGGCGGGGGCGGAGUCGCCAUCUUGGACUCGGUUCGACCCGGUCUGGUGACCGGCGACGCGGGGCCGGGCUCGGCGCCGGGGGUCGGGAACUACUAUCAAUGCCUUUUACAAAAUGAGGUCAUUGGAUUGCAGAGUUGGUCUUCGAGAAGAUUUUGUGGCCUUUCUCAGCUGUCUAGGUGCUGUAGGUGCUGUGCUUCUAUGGCUGCAAGGAUGAAGGAUGGUUCACCUGCCUCCAACUGGCCUCCUUGCCUUUGGUUCUGGCCCUGCCUGGUUCGAGAUCACAUUGCCAGAGGGAUCUUCAUAAGCACAGAUUUGCUGUAUCACUUCCAGCUUAAAAUCCAUCAGUGACUCCUGUUAGUGCCAGUGUGGAAUCCAAACUUCUUAGCAUGUCCAGUUUGAUGGUGGCCGUGAAGGGGUCUGAUGCUCAGUAACUUGAGGUGCCCCUGCAGCAUGAGGUGGUGGAGAGAGUAUCUGAGUGGGUAUGGGAUUCUGGGGUCAGGCUCAUGUUCACUUGCUCAGGAGCUUGGAGCACAACUUCCCCUUUCUGGGAGAAGGCUUUAUAUCUCAUUAAGAUGGAUGAAAUCUCUCAGCUGGACAAAGGCAGCAGCACAUUAUGUUCAAAAUGAAGAGACUUGGUGUGAGACGGAUCCUGAACAGCUCACCUCCCACCAUCCCAGCCAUGGGCAGCCUACAGCCAGAAGUAGCACGGUCUUCAAAUUCCAGCCCAUCUCUCUCCUCUUGAUGAAUACCUCUUCCAGCUCAGUUGCAAUGAAAUGUCUCCUUCUUCCAUAUAAACCCAGGGCUGUGCCCAAGCCUGCUUAUCCCAUCACCCACACUUCCCCCGAGUCUUAAAACAUGUCACUUCCUCGAGACUCGGAGGCCCACCUUAGGAAGUAUAAGAUUCAUGUUGAUAACUAGCUAGGAGGCUCAUUGAAAAUAUUUUGGGAUUUGCAUGUUAGCUCUGUCAAAUCAAGUAAAAAAUCAUUCUUAUCUACCAUAACCAGCAGUUAUGCAAAUCUGCCAAUGGCACUAAUUAAGUGACUUCUAAAAGCAUUUAUUAUAAAUAAGGAACAGAAACAUUCAGGGGCUUAUUUUAUUCUCUCCAGCAGCCAUAGCCCCAUCUGAUUAAUGCCAUAUGGGAAGAGUCUAUUCUGGAGGGCAGGCUGGAGUUUGGUUCAUUGUUGGCAGAUAUUUCAGUUACGUGUUUGUGCAACACUGUAUGCUUACCAGGUAGCAGCUUUGGUGGGAUAGGCCACCUUCACACUUAUCCCAUCAUCACUUGAGAUUUCAAGCCUCAAUUUGACCCCAUGUGGCAGGAAGAGUGUAUGCCAUGUACAGAAAAACUUUACAUCUGUUAUCGUUUAUGAUCUUCCCAACAGCUCUGUGAUGUUUGUUAUUAUCCCUGCAUUGCAGAUAAAGAAACCUAUACUUCCCUGCUAUAAAAUAGAGUUGACCAAAAUUUUUGCAAACAGCCAGAGAGUGAAUAUUUCUGGCAUUGCAACCUAUCAUGUAAGGUCUCCAUCGUGACUGUUCAACUCUGCCAUUGUGGUACAAAAUCAGAGAUGCAUGCUAAAUAAAUGAAAACGCAUGGCUGUG